rnacentral:lncRNA from 1 species
UUGGCAAGGGCUGUGCUGCUGCCAUGAAGCAAGCUGGAGCUCGUGUGAUUGUGACCGAGAUUGAUCCCAUUUGCGCGCUUCAGGCUCUCAUGGAGGGUCUACAGGUCCUGACUCUUGAAGAUGUUAUCUCCGAGGCUGAUAUCUUUGUCACCACCACUGGUAACAAGGACAUUAUCAUGGUUGAUCACAUGAGGAAGAUGAAGAACAAUGCCAUUGUCUGCAACAUCGGUCACUUCGAUAAUGAAAUCGACAUGCUUGGACUUGAGACCUUCCCUGGCGUGAAGCGCAUCACCAUCAAGCCCCAAACUGACAGGUGGGUCUUCCCUGACACCAACUCCGGCAUCAUUGUCCUGGCUGAGGGACGUCUCAUGAACCUGGGAUGUGCCACCGGUCACCCCAGCUUUGUGAUGUCCUGCUCAUUCACCAACCAGGUGAUCGCCCAGCUUGAGCUGUGGAACGAGAGGAAAACCGGCAAGUACGAGAGGAAGGUCUAUGUCUUGCCCAAGCACCUUGAUGAGAAGGUUGCUUCCCUUCACCUUGGCAAGCUAGGAGCUAGGCUUACCAAGCUCUCCAAGGACCAGGCUGACUACAUCAACGUGCCAAUCGAGGGUCCAUACAAGCCUGCUCAGUACAGGUACUGAGAGAUGGAACUUGAGGCAAAACGUGAUUGGAAACGGCGCUAUUGUUUCUUUUGUAUUUUCAUGAUGAUUUGUCCUAUAUUAUUAGGCUUCAAUUUUUUUCCUAGGAUUUGUGUUUUGGUGGUGGGGAAGACAUGGGAGGAAAAUAUAUGAAACGGUCUAUCUUGAAGACCACAUGGGAUUAUCUAAUAAGGUUUUGGAUUGGGGUUGUGUGGGAUAAUAUUGUAGCUGUUGCCAUUUUUCAUUUGAGUUUUCUUGCUGCAGCUUAUCUUCUUUUUAAU